UACCACUACACUUUGAUACUAGUCCGCCCUUCUGAAAAGAUAAAGGAUGUGUACUUUCUCUGUAUCUUCACACUUCUGAUCUGCUCUCUACAGCCAUUGUCUGUAACUCAUAAGUGCCCGGAAUAUUCUGUGAGUAAAUUCUUCAAAGAAAACGUUCAUCAUCUACAGCCUUUAUUUGGAUAACCAACAUUCUCACUACCCGAAAUUAAACGAACACGCGGAGGAAAAAGUGUCCUCCAACAACUGAUGACACCGACGUGAUUUCGGACUUAGGUGUUGGUUGACAGACAGAACAUCGGCCGGCGAACAAUUGAGAAGGUAAGAGCACAUUUAUCCUCCAAAAAUGAUCGACUGUCUGUUAACUGGGGUUGAGGUCCAUGGCACGUUUGAAUUUGUUACAUUGUGAAAUUAUAAUUUUUGGCUGGAUGAACAGUAGGGGAAAUUGAACAUUAAUAAGUCCUGGGUUUGAGGCCCUGGUGGGUAAUUGUCGCGUGCCACCUAAAUGGUUGAAAAGCCAUAGAGUGUCUGGGCGUACCACUCUAAAAAUUGUUUAAAAGUGCCCUGUGUUCGGAAGUUGUGCCGAAACAAAAAGGUUUUAAAUACCGGGUUGGCAGAACACACCGAUAAGGUUGAGGCCAGCCCGAAAUUUUCUGGACCACGAGGUUUUCUAGUUCUUUUCGGAGAAUCCUAGAGACUAGAAUUCCUCAUUCAAAAUCAAAGGACAAAGAGCGAUAAGUCCUGGGUUCGAGGGGCAGAGGGGGGUUCGAUUUAAAACAUAAUGCAGAGACAGUUUGACAGUUUGCAGGGAAAGUGAAUGGUUCGAUUUGCGGCAAUUGCCAAAGCAUUCUGAACAAUUGUUGCUAAAUAUACAAAUGAGAAAUGCAUCUGAUUUGUGUGUUGGAAGGUUGCCUGAAAAAGAACGAGAUAGUGAGAAAGAACAGUUGAAAGAUUGGAGGAAAUGUUGUGAGAAUGGUUCCCUCCAUUGUCUUUGACUGCGUGUUUGGUGACAUUAAUAAAAGAAACGGAAUAAGCUUGCAUUAAAAGAGUGGCGGCUUUAAACUUGGAAGUGUAAAAAAAAAUAAUUAACAGGUUAUCUUCAAAUGGUAGAAACGUGAGAGAGAAUAUUAACAAAGUUGUGGAAAUGAAAGUGAAAGCGAGAAUGAUGGCAAUGGGAUGUGCGUUAAAGUUGUCGUGUUUGGCUGUCAAGGAAGUUACCGUCAACACCCAAAUUGCCCUCCGUGGCGCCUAAACUUUGGCUGCUGGAGUAACCGCCGCUAUUAGAGAAUUAGAAGGCAGAUUGGAAAAAGUGGCCAACUUGAGACCAUUCACACUUUUGACUCAGCUAUGACUGUACAAGACAGAAUUAAAUAGACACCAGGAGGUUCCAUAAAAUAUCAGAAAUCAAUUUAAGAGAACCGCUACUAAACAUGAAGACAGCACGAACGCUGAAGCGGAAAAGCAAGACCGUGCCCUUCGCGCUAAACAACAAGCAGCCCGACUGAAAGAAGUAACAGGGAGUUGCUGUCUAUGCUGCGGAACACGCAGCUAGAGGCUCUUCAAAUGGGGAAGCAGAAAACAGGUUGUAUGUUGCUCAGUUACAAUCAACUAGCAGAAUUAAAGUCUCAUGUCCAGAAUCUUUCAGGUGUCCACCCUGACUCCAUUUUGGAUCGAACCUAAGGUCAUGAAGACCCAGAGGAAUCUUUCAAAGGUCCAGCUUUUCCUCCUCAUCACCGUGUGACUCGUUCCCAAAUCUUGCAGGCACCCAUGUUAGCCAAAGUUGACUGAGCUACUAGCAACUCUAUGUUUUACAAAUCUUUCUCUCCCACUGAUGUGAGUGUGUUGGUGCAGAAACUUCCAUCCAUGCAAUCUGGUGGUGCCCAUUGGCUUCAAGCAGUGGAGAGAACGGUUACGGGACUAAUGUUAACCGCAGGAAAUGAAUCAGCAGAUCAAGCAGCAAAAAAGGUUGAGGGGUACCGACCAACACUACAGCUUACUGUAAGUGAGUCUGAAUGUGACAAUCAACAGGAGGUGACAGUAGAAACAGUUAAGAUGUGGCAGGAAAAAGCAAGUCCAGAAGAAAAGUGUGUGGAAGUCGAAAGGGGGUGUCAAAGAUGAGGAUGGCAUAUGGCGAAAAGAGGGUAAGUGGAUUCCAUCUCGGACACAAUUGAAAAAUCUGAUUUUUGAAGCCCAUGGAACAUGUAGGUGUGGAUCAAAUAUUGAGACGACACCACACCUAUUGAAAUCCUUUCAUGAGACAAUUUUUUUAAUAGGUGAACUGCAGGACUACAGCGUUUGCGGUAGGUAUAACAGUAUGCUUACAACGAAAUCACCACAGGGAGUCCAGGAUCCGGACGUGGACGCCCCUGAUCAGGUCCCUUUCAGGUCACGGAGCAGACGAUCACAGCAGUACGUCCUCCAGGAAAGGGGGGCACGUGGUUCUACAUCUCGUCAACACGACCUGCCAGAUCCACCUCGGGUUCAGCGAUCCCUCCACCUGACGACAACCGGA